CCCCAAUCCCGCCAGUUUUCAAUCCCAUCAAUUUUCAAAUCCCGCCAAUUCCCCAAUUCCGUCAAUUUUUAAACCCCGCCAAUUUCCAACUCCUGUCAAUUCCCCAAUCCUGCCAAUUUUCAAUUUUCACCAAUUUCCGAAUCCCGCCAAUUCCCAGAUCCCGUUGCCCAGGAGUUCCUUGGGAGCACCACAGAAAAGCGAUUGGACAUUCCCCCACCCCAGGCAUCCCAAAAUUUUUGGGAAUUGUCCCUCUGGAUAAUUGGCUGGGAUAGAUUUGGGAUUUCCCAGGAAUUCCUGAGUUUUCCCAAAAUCCCGGUGUCUGCAGCUGGAGUGAACUUUGGAUUUUCCAGAAAUCCUGGGGUUUUCUACAAAUCCUAGGGUUUCCCAUGAAUCCUGGGGUUUUCCAGAAUUCCUGGGGUUUUCCAUGAAUCCCGGGAUUUUCCAGGAAUCCCUGAGUUUUCCCAAAAUCCCGGUGUCUGCGGCUGAAGUGAACUUGGGGUUUUCCAUGAAUUCCUGGGGUUUUCCACAAGUCCUGGGGUUUUCCAGAAUUCCUAGGGUUUUCUACAGAUCCUGGGGUUUUUCAGAAUUCCUGUGGUUUUCCAUGAAUCCCAGGAUUUUCCAGGUGUUCCAAGGUCUCUUGUCCCCAGCCUGCGGAUUCAGCCAAAAUAAAUUCGGGAUUUUUCAGGAGUCCACGAGUUUCACAGAGCCGGUUCCACAGCCCAGGAAAAGCCGGGAAUGGGUUCCCGGGCUCUGGGAGACGCCGGGAGCCAGAGCCGGAUGCAAAAGAGGAGGAGGAGGAGGAAAAUUCCCAUUUUUUAAUCCCGGGAUGAUCAAAGCUCCCCAAAAAACCCCCCCAGGGCCGGAGAGGCUUCGCCAUUCCCGACGCCUUCAAGUCCAGGCUGGAAUUUUCCUGGGCAUCAAAGUCCUGGAACCUCAAAUCCAACGUUUGGGAUUCAAAUGUUCCCCAAAAGAGCAAAAAUUAAAUUAAAAAUAAAACCGAUAGAUCCAAA